rnacentral:sRNA from 1 species
GCUGGGCUUGGUGGUUCAUGCCUGUAAUCUCAGUGACUAGGGGGCUGAGGCAGGAGGAUUGCAAGUUUGAAACCCUAAGUAAUUUGGCAAGACCCUGUCUCAA